rnacentral:tmRNA from 1 species
GGGGAUGACCUGGCUUUGACAGCGUGAAGAAGUGGUUUGUAAGCAUGCCGUGCAAGGCUCGUGAUGCACGCUAAUCUCAUAGAGCGACAAUUCAACUGGCGAAAAUAACUACGCUCUCGCUGCGUAACCGAAGUAUAGUAAGUUAGCGCUUCAUCACGACGACAGACUGUUGUGACGAGACAUCACUCCCGUAGCCGUGCUCACCGAGGCGACAGGAUCAUAGUGGUGUAGGAAAUUCGGAGACUCCUUUGCUGAUGCCCAUGGGGCGAAGGUAGUAUCAGUGGGAUAAGGUCUAGACCUGGUGGCCUCAGCCAUACCCCUAGACCCGACAAUCCGAAAGUGAGGAUAAGCAUGUAGAAAGCAGAUUAGUUCCACGUUUGGACCGGGGUUCGACUCCCCGCAUCUCCACU